rnacentral:rRNA from 2 species
UGAUGGAGCACGCCGCGUGAGUGAAGAAGGCUUUCGGGUCGUAAAACUCUGUUGUUGGAGAAGAAUGGUCGGCAGAGUAACUGUUGUCGGCGUGACGGUAUCCAACCAGAAAGCCACGGCUAACUACGUGCCAGCAGCCGCGGUAAUACGUAGGUGGCAAGCGUUAUCCGGAUUUAUUGGGCGUAAAGCGAGCGCAGGCGGUUUUUUAAGUCUGAUGUGAAAGCCCUCGGCUUAACCGAGGAAGCGCAUCGGAAACUGGGAAACUUGAGUGCAGAAGAGGACAGUGGAACUCCAUGUGUAGCGGUGAAAUGCGUAGAUAUAUGGAAGAACACCAGUGGCGAAGGCGGCUGUCUGGUCUGUAACUGACGCUGAGGCUCGAAAGCAUGGGUAGCGAACAGGAUUAGAUACCCUGGUAGUCCAUGCCGUAAACGAUGAAUGCUAGGUGUUGGAGGGUUUCCGCCCUUCAGUGCCGCAGCUAACGCAUUAAGCAUUCCGCCUGGGGAGUACGACCGCAAGGUUGAAACUCAAAGGAAUUGACGGGGGCCCGCACAAGCGGUGGAGCAUGUGGUUUAAUUCGAAGCAACGCGAAGAACCUUACCAGGUCUUGACAUCUUUUGAUCACCUGAGAGAUCAGGUUUCCCCUUCGGGGGCAAAAUGACAGGUGGUGCAUGGUUGUCGUCAGCUCGUGUCGUGAGAUGUUGGGUUAAGUCCCGCAACGAGCGCAACCCUUAUGACUAGUUGCCAGCAUUUAGUUGGGCACUCUAGUAAGACUGCCGGUGACAAACCGGAGGAAGGUGGGGAUGACGUCAAAUCAUCAUGCCCCUUAUGACCUGGGCUACACACGUGCUACAAUGGAUGGUACAACGAGUUGCGAGACCGCGAGGUCAAGCUAAUCUCUUAAAGCCAUUCUCAGUUCGGACUGUAGGCUGCACUCGCCUA